GAGCGAACGGACGAGAAGCUUGCUUCUCUGAUGUUAGCGGCGGACGGGUGAGUAACACGUGGAUAACCUACCUAUAAGACUGGGAUAACUUCGGGAAACCGGAGCUAAUACCGGAUAAUAUUUUGAACCGCAUGGUUCAAAAGUGAAAGACGGUCUUGCUGUCACUUAUAGAUGGAUCCGCGCUGCAUUAGCUAGUUGGUAAGGUAACGGCUUACCAAGGCAACGAUGCAUAGCCGACCUGAGAGGGUGAUCGGCCACACUGGAACUGAGACACGGUCCAGACUCCUACGGGAGGCAGCAGUAGGGAAUCUUCCGCAAUGGGCGAAAGCCUGACGGAGCAACGCCGCGUGAGUGAUGAAGGUCUUCGGAUCGUAAAACUCUGUUAUUAGGGAAGAACAUAUGUGUAAGUAACUGUGCACAUCUUGACGGUACCUAAUCAGAAAGCCACGGCUAACUACGUGCCAGCAGCCGCGGUAAUACGUAGGUGGCAAGCGUUAUCCGGAAUUAUUGGGCGUAAAGCGCGCGUAGGCGGUUUUUUAAGUCUGAUGUGAAAGCCCACGGCUCAACCGUGGAGGGUCAUUGGAAACUGGAAAACUUGAGUGCAGAAGAGGAAAGUGGAAUUCCAUGUGUAGCGGUGAAAUGCGCAGAGAUAUGGAGGAACACCAGUGGCGA
rnacentral:rRNA from 2 species